UAAAAAUUUAAAUUUUUUUGAACCAACCGUUUUAUCAGAAAAAUUACACUGGUUAUAUAGCAGUUUGACAAACACUCAUUUUGAUCAUUGAAAAGCUUAAUAUCCCUUUAACAACACAACGUAAUUAAAACGUUUAGCUGACUUUACAGAGUUAUCUCCCUGUAGUGUUAGGUACCACCUUAAAAGUUGUGUGAAAUAAUUCAAAUAUAACUUUUGGAUUACCUCCCUUACACAGCUUUCAAAUUGUCUUGACUAUCCUUUAACCAGAAAAAUAAUUGUUUUUCAUCUUUUUUGCCCCUUAUUCAUAAAUGGUUUUAUCUAUACCCUCAGCCAAUCCUAACCAUCCCAUAGUAGUAUAGAGCAUUGGGGUAUAAUUUCAGAAAGAUCAUACACUUUUACACAAGUCAUUAACUUAAAACUACAAAAAUGCUUGUGUUUGGCCCAUCAUUCUUGACUGUUUGCCCCAUAACCCUAAAAAUAAAUUCCAACCUUCUUCAAAUCUUAUAAUAUUUAACAUUGUGGUACAAUUUCAGAGGAAUUGAAAUACUUAUACACAACUUAUUGUCCUGAAACUAGAUAAAUGCUUGUUUUGGUCCCCUUAUCCUAAACCUUAGGGACCAUAACCCCCAAUAUCAAUCCCAAG
rnacentral:lncRNA from 1 species